AUGAAAAUAAACUGCUUUUUUUCCUAUUCUAGCAAUAGGCAUCUCAUAUUGAUAAUAGGAAAAAUAUUCAAUUUACAGUUAGAAAAUUAUAAAAUUCUUAGGGUAAUAACUGUUAACAGUCACCAUAAUGCCAUGCACUAUUCUGUGCAAUCCUCCAACACCCUCUUCGGAUGGAUUACUAUUAUCAUUCUUAUUUUGCAGAAAAGAACACUGAGAAAUAGAGUGAUUUACCCCAGAUCAUUAGCUGUAAUCCUGGCAGUUGGCACUGAGACUACUUUUGAAACCUCCAUGUUAUGACAGGCUUGGGUGGAGAGGCUGGCCUCACACAGACUGCAGAGAUCUGGGGAUGCGUGUGUAUGCCAGCAGCCUCACAAACAUGCGGACAUCUGCCUCUCCCUCGGACACAUUUCUCAGGUGAUAAAUGUGGGCGUCUGUGUCAGUGGGAACUUCUUCUGGAGUGGGCCGGGUAACGCUGUUAGGCAGAACUCUCGACAGACUCAUAGGCCCCUCACAGCGCCCCUCCACACCCCACUAACUGUACACGACAAGCAGUUAGUGUGUGGUGAGGAACUCUUUCUCCUUCCUUUUUCCUGCCCACAGCUGCAGUGGGGCCCCGGGUCUCAGGGGGCGGAUGUCACCUGCCAGGGGUGGGCUUUUUCCCCGCUCCAUACCUGGUCUUGUUCCAGGCUCUUAACCCCAGUGAACCCUUUGGGUGGUCACAUCCUGGUAAAAGAACUUUAGGGAGCACCUCAACACCACUGCUCAGCAGGCCCUCCUCCCCCACUGUUUCCUCUCCAUCAGACAGGCCUCUCUGUCCCUGGUUUUCCCCUACAAAUGCCCUUUUUUCAGUGGGGCUGGGUGUAAAGGGACAAAGUAGGGACUUUUUAAAAGGAAGAACUUUACUAGGGAAGUAAGAGAGGAACCAAAAUCAAAGCAAGGAAAUAUCAAAACCUUGGCUGUUUCAGUCUGCCCAUUCAGAACCCAGCCCUGCCCUGUUUCUUUGCCUCCCCUCUGAGAAGCUCUGGCCCAACUUCAUCCCUGUGCAAGACCUUUGCUUGCCCGACCCCUGACCCCUGACAAGGUGCACGAAUAGUCAGUGCUCCAGGCUGUUCCAGAGGAGCACAAGCAGGGGUGUCCCUCACUCCAGUCCAGCCUGUCCCAGAGCUUCUGCCUCCUGGACUCAGCUUGCUGGGUCCAGCUUAGAUAUUAGAACACAGAGGUUUCCAUGAGUGGCCAGAGGGUAGGAUGGAACGAGGAAGGGGCUGACUGUCAGUAGGGCAAAAAGGGUGGAGGGGGA
rnacentral:lncRNA from 1 species